AGUGAACGCUGGCGGUAGGCCUAACACAUGCAAGUCGAACGGCAGCACAGUAAGAGCUUGCUCUUACGGGUGGCGAGUGGCGGACUGGUGAGGAAUACAUCGGAAUCUACUUUUUCGUGGGGGAUAACGUAGGGAAACUUACGCUAAUACCGCAUACGACCUACGGGUGAAAGCAGGGGAUCUUCCGACCUUGCGCGAUUGAAUGAGCCGAUGUCGGAUUAGCUAGUUGGCGGGGUAAAGGCCCACCAAGGCGACGAUCCGUAGCUGGUCUGAGAGGAUGAUCAGCCACACUGGAACUGAGACACGGUCCAGACUCCUACGGGAGGCAGCAGUGGGGAAUAUUGGACAAUGGGCGCAAGCCUGAUCCAGCCAUACCGCGUGGGUGAAGAAGGCCUUCGGGUUGUAAAGCCCUUUUGUUGGGAAAGAAAAGCAGCAGGUUAAUACCCCGCUGUUAUGACGGUACCCAAAGAAUAAGCACCGGCUAACUUCGUG
rnacentral:rRNA from 1 species